ACAUAAGCCGAGAGCAGAAAGACUCUUGGCUUUAUAAAUUUUUAGUUGACUUUAUCUGCUUAAACUUGUAUACUAGUUAGGUAUGAAUUGCCUUUUAAAAGCUCCGCUUGGCUAGGUGAGGGUCCUGCGCAAUAAGACUCUGCGAACCUUGUCAGGUCCGGAAGGAAGCAGCAAUAAGUGGAAGCUCUUAUGUGCCGCAGACAAGCCUUCUCCAAAGUCGGCGGAGCUUUUAAAGGGCAAUUUUUUAUUU
rnacentral:SRP_RNA from 1 species